AGUGAACGCUGGCGGUAGGCCUAACACAUGCAAGUCGAACGGCAGCACAGUAAGAGCUUGCUCUUACGGGUGGCGAGUGGCGGACGGGUGAGGAAUACAUCGGAAUCUACUUUUUCGUGGGGGAUAACGUAGGGAAACUUACGCUAAUACCGCAUACGACCUACGGGUGAAAUCAGGGGAUCUUCUGACCUUGCGCGAUUGAAUGAGCCGAUGUCGGAUUAGCUAGUUGGCGGGGUAAAGGCCCACCAAGGCGACGAUCCGUAGCUGGUCUGAGAGGAUGAUCAGACACACUGGAACUGAGACACGGUCCAGACUCCUACGGGAGGCAGCAGUGGGGAAUAUUGGACAAGGGGCGCAAGCCUGAUCCAGCCAUACCGCGUGGGUGAAGAAGGCCUUCGGGUUGUAAAGCCCUUUUGUUGGGAAAGAAAAGCAGCAGGUUAAUACCCCGCUGUUCUGACGGUACCCAAAGAAUAAGCACCGGCUAACUUCGUG
rnacentral:rRNA from 1 species